GGCACCCCAGCCUAGCCCCCGUUGCACCUGUCCUCAGAGCAACGCUGAAGACUUGUACAUGAAAAUAGACAGCAUCCAGGCGGACAUCUUGGCGGCCAACAAAGUUAACCUCACCAAAGCAUUGCACGUCUCUGGCGUCGGCAGCAACAUGAGCAUUUCCCUUGACAUUCGUGAUGCGGAUCCCUUAGCCUACGUCACACACUUCCAGAGGGAAGAUAAGGGCUCAACGGAGUAGCAGCCCCAGAGGCAAACCAGGGAGGCCGAGGCUCUGUGUGCUGCAGGGAACCCUGGCUGAAGGACGGCGCCUGGGGCCAACCAAGCUCAGAGCUCCUCCACUUGGCCCUAGGUGGGAGGCCCUCGGUGGGAGACUGGGGGUUGGGCACGCCAGUCAGAGAGGGCACCUGGCUGGGAAGAAUUCAGUAAACAGACUUGAUGAUA